UGGGGAUGACUUUGAUAGUAG
rnacentral:misc_RNA from 1 species